rnacentral:rRNA from 1 species
AGACGUCUACAUUAGAUACCCGUGUAGUCCUAGCCGUAAACGAUACUCGCUAGGUGUCGGCCACGGUGCGACCGUUGUCGGUGCCGUAGGGAAGCCGUGAAGCGAGCCACCUGGGAAGUACGGCCGCAAGGCUGAAACUUAAAGGAAUUGGCGGGGAGCACAACAACGGGUGGAGCUUGCGGUUUAAUUGGAUUCAACGCCGGAAAUCUUACCGGGACCGACAGCAACAUGAAGGCCAAGCUGAAGACUUUGCCGGAUUAGCUG